UACGAAGGGGGCUAGCGUUGUUCGGAAUUACUGGGCGUAAAGCGUGCGCAGGCGGCUGCUCAAGUCAGGGGUGAAAGCCUCCCGCUUAACGGGAGAAGCGCCUCGGAUACUGACGGCCUCGAGGAGGGUAGGGGCAAGCGGAACUAUGGGUGGAGCGGUGAAAUGCAUUGAUAUCCAUAGGAACUCCGGUGGCGAAGGCGGCUUGCUGGACCCUUUCUGACGCUGAGGCGCGAAAGCCAGGGGAGCAAACGGG
rnacentral:rRNA from 1 species